GGCCUGAUGGUCUAGUAGUAUGAUUCCUUGUUAGGGCUCUGUGCUGUUUCGAGGAGGUCCCGGGUUCAAUUCCCGGUUAGGCCC